GAUGAACGCUGGCGGCGUGCUUAACACAUGCAAGUCGAACGGGAAACCUUUUAUUGAAGCUUCGGCAGAUUUAGCUGGUUUCUAGUGGCGGACGGGUGAGUAACGCGUGGGUAACCUGCCUUAUACAGGGGGAUAACAGUCAGAAAUGGCUGCUAAUACCGCAUAAGCGCACAGAGCUGCAUGGCUCAGUGUGAAAAACUCCGGCGGUCUAAGAUGGACCCGCGUUGGAUUAGCUGGUUGGUGGGUUAACGGCCCACCAAGGCGACGAUCCAUAGCCGGCCUGGGAGGAUGCCCUGCCACAUUGGGAGCGAGACACGGCCAAGAACUGUAACGGAGGCAGUCGGGUGGAAUACUGGCCAAUGGGAGAAAGCUUGAGGCAGCCACGCUGAGUGAAGGAAGAAGUACCUCGGUACGCAGACUCUCAUCAGCAGGGAAGAUAAUGACGGUACCUUACCAAGAAGCCCCGGAUAACUACGUG
rnacentral:rRNA from 1 species